rnacentral:rRNA from 1 species
UACAGAGGGGCAAGCGUUGUUCGGAAUUACUGGGCGUAAAGGGCGCGUAGGCGGCCUGUUAAGUCGAACGUGAAAUCCCCGGGCUCAACCCGGGAACUGCGUCCGAUACUGGCAGGCUUGAAUCCGGGAGAGGGAUGUGGAAUUCCAGGUGUAGCGGUGAAAUGCGUAGAUAUCUGGAGGAAUACCGGUGGCGAAGGCGGCAUCCUGGACCGACAUUGACGCUGAACGGCGAAAGCUAGGGGAGCAAACGGG